UGCAUUGGUAUUCUUGUGCAGCUCUUUGUUGACUGAAGAAGAGCUGGCUGAUUUCACCAUCCAUGAUCUGCUUGAGAAGCUCGAGGUAUUUAUUUUUCGAUGAAAUUUGGACCUAGUGUUACUGGUAUGAGAAUGGAGAUAAUAAGGUUAAGGUUAUAUUAGUGCUGAAAACAACUUGAAAAACGAUAUUACUAUUUAAAAUUAAUUUUAAAAUCCUAAAAAUUACAUAAAAAAUACAUAAAACUUAAUUAAAUAAAAAUAAUUCCUAAAAUAACUAUUCUGGUCCUAGAGGUUCGAAACGUGUCCAAACGUGCUCCAUCAAAUCAUGUUGGAGCAUAGCAUGACGAAGGAAAUAUUGGAAAUAUUGGAAGAUUGAAGGAAUAGAAUUGUUGUUGUGUGAACUCUGUUAACUCUGUUAGGAUUAUCUCAAAACUGAGUUGAGAUGGGCCUUCAUGAUUAAAGCCCAUUAUCUAGCUACUUUUUAGGUGAUGAGUGAUUCUAUUCAUAGUCUUCAUUUUACUCAAUGUAUAAUGCAUAUUCUUUUCAUGUUUUAAAAACACAUAGUUAAGUAAUUACACUCAAUACAGUAUACAUAAUAAUAUUAAUGUCAUUAUGCAAUCAGUGUUUAAAAUAAUUAAUUAAAANACCUCAUCCAAGUCUGGUGCCACGUCAUUUAAAAGUUCACCGAAAAGCACGCGAUGGGAAAUUCCAGAUGACAUAAUUUAUUAUGUAUAUUUUGAAACAAGAAUGAAAGAUUGUGGAAAAAACCAAAAAUUGGAAAUUUAUGAUAGAAUCAAAUAAAUUUCAAAAUGACAUGAGGAUAUGUGAGAUCCUUAAUAUAAUUUCUGUAGGACUAAAUGUCAAUCUCUCAGGCAUGUGUCUAUUGUUCUGUUUUUAUGAUUUUUUUCUUCAAAAGCUAUUAAUGUUAUUUCAUUAUAUCCAACACUCCAGAUUCCAUCAAACUUGAAUCAUCUGUUAUUGUUUUAACUCCAAACAUUAAUCCUUGAUUGCAAUGAGUAUGAUUCUAAAGCCAUGGCAGAGAUAGAGAAGCUUCUGAGGAGCAUGGAAGCGAGGCGGCCUCAACUAGUGGCGCUUACGAGCUUGCUCGUGGGGAAGAACGACGACAGCGUAGUUGUCGACUCUGAAGAGAAGGAUGAUGACAAAAAUUCAGACAGCAAUGUUGAAGAUGAAGAUAGUGAAACAGAGGAAUCAGCAGCUGUGGAAGUUGAACCCAAUCCCAGCAACAAGGGAAAAGGAAAAAGGCACACCAAAGAAAGAAUGUUGAGCAUAUCAUAUAACACAACAAAGUUUCAAUUUGCAUCACCAUUAGAAUCUUACAAGUAAGUUCUAACUUGCAGGACAGGAUAUUUGGUUUUACUUUAUCAAUUGCAUGUUUUUCCUUGUCUUUAUAAACAGAUGAAAGUAGUAAUAAGACUUUCAAUUUAACAAUUAAAUAGGUAUUUUGGUGUUAUAUGUGAAAAAGUAUGGUUUUGGAAAUUUGUUUGCUUCGUUAAAGGGAUUGAGUAAAUGGAAGCUCGUUUUGGUUGAGAAAUGACUGAGAAUAUGUUUUGGUAUUAAUCUGAGUGGUUUGGAUUGUGCAUUGGUAUUCUUGUGCAGCUCUUUGUUGACUGAAGAAGAGUAUCACAAUUCCACCAUCCAUGAUCUGCUUGAGAAGCUCGAGGUAUAUAUUUUUCGAUGAAAUUUGGACCUAGUGUUACUGGUAUGAGAAUGGAAAAUAAGGUUAAGGUUAUAUUAGUGCUGAAAACAGCUUGAAAAACGAUAUUACUAUUUAAAAAUGGCUCUUCUGCUUAGAAACGAAAUGCAGUUGCAAGUGUUUUUUUACAUAACUAGCAGUAAGAACGUGCGAUGCACGUUUAACACUUGUAAUUUUAUACUAUAAAAAUAAAAUGCAUAGGUAUUAUUAUAUAGUUUUGAAUAUUAUCACUAAUUAAUUGUAUUUAUUAAAUUGACCUAUUCAUUUGAUUAUAAUUAAAAUUUAAAAAAGAAAUUAAUGAAACUAUUAAUGAAUAAAUUUAAAUAGCCGUUGCCUAUUAAAACAAAAAAAAAUUGAAAUACGGCUUAGCAUCGGCCUACUCGAUCUCCACCUUACUCGAGUAGGUGGGACCAGGUAGACCGAUGCAGAU
rnacentral:lncRNA from 1 species